rnacentral:rRNA from 1 species
CCUGCGGAAGGAUCAUUACCGAGUGCGGGUCCUUUGGGCCCAACCUCCCAUCCGUGUCUAUUGUACCCUGUUGCUUCGGCGGGCCCGCCGCUUGUCGGCCGCCGGGGGGGCGCCUCUGCCCCCCGGGCCCGUGCCCGCCGGAGACCCCAACACGAACACUGUCUGAAAGCGUGCAGUCUGAGUUGAUUGAAUGCAAUCAGUUAAAACUUUCAACAAUGGAUCUCUUGGUUCCGGCAUCGAUGAAGAACGCAGCGAAAUGCGAUAACUAAUGUGAAUUGCAGAAUUCAGUGAAUCAUCGAGUCUUUGAACGCACAUUGCGCCCCCUGGUAUUCCGGGGGGCAUGCCUGUCCGAGCGUCAUUGCUGCCCUCAAGCCCGGCUUGUGUGUUGGGUCGCCGUCCCCCUCUCCGGGGGGACGGGCCCGAAAGGCAGCGGCGGCACCGCGUCCGAUCCUCGAGCGUAUGGGGCUUUGUCACAUGCUCUGUAGGAUUGGCCGGCGCCUGCCGACGUUUUCCAACCAUUCUUUCCAGGUUGACCUCGGAUCAGGUAGGGAUACCCGCUGA